GGCCGCGUAGCUCAGUUGGCUAGAGCGUUGGCUGUGCUAAAGCCUUCCCUUUGCUGGCGUGGGUUCGAAUCCUACUGAAGCCG
rnacentral:tRNA from 1 species